UACGGAGGGUGCAAGCGUUAUCCGGAUUUACUGGGUUUAAAGGGUGUGUAGGCGGACUUUUAAGUCAGCGGUGAAAUCUCCGGGCUCAACCCGGAAACUGCCAUUGAUACUAUUGGUCUUGAAUGUUGUUGAGGUGGGCGGAACGGGUCAUGUAGCGGUGAAAUGCAUAGAUAUGACCCGGAACACCGAUUGCGUAGGCAGCCCACUAAGCAACGAUUGACGCUGAGGCACGAAAGCGUGGGGAUCGAACAGG
rnacentral:rRNA from 1 species